GCCGGCCGUCCUCCACCUCCCGGCGCGCUAGUCGACCAGCCGUUCAGACCUGACCUCGCAUGGUGAAGGAGGAUUUUAUUUUUUGGUCAUGUUAGCCCGCCUGUAUGUGUUGAUGGCCUGGCUGGCCCACCGCAGUCCGCCAUCUACCAUCCCGCCGGUAAAGAUCAAGAGCUUGUCUCCCCUCCCCUCCUCCUGGGAAGAGUGGAAACAGGCUUUAGGGAACAGUGUUUUGUCAGGAGAAAUCGGACGCGGUCGAAACUCUGCCAAACGGGCUCCAAAUUAACCGCACAAGUUGUUCGGAGUGAGAGAGAAGAUGGCGAGCUCGCACGAGAAUGUUGCAAGGAUUGCCCUUGCCCUGGGAAGGCGAUACCCUAUUCCCCUGGACCUUCCUUGGCCACGACGCUAAGGGCAGAUGCUGAUGUGCCGGCUAUCCGUUCGAUGGAAUGCGGCGUCAAUUCGACACCACCUUCAGCUUCAGGUUCUUCCCCUCAGGAAGCCUGAAUUCGGCUGGGUUGUUCAGUGUGAAGUACUUUCGCUCUCCCCUCCCCCAGUUUAGUGAUCAAGCGUAUGUGGUCUCAAAUAUUACAAGAAAAAAUUAGGCAAGUUUUGACCAAGAAAAGAAACGGUUGAGAUAAAUCGCUCUCUCCCUGGUCACACCCGUAACACCACAAUGAAGGAAGCCAAACCUUUGAGGUUGUUGUCGAGCCAUUUGGACUGCUUGGUGCGGACAUGGCUUGCCCACCACCACGAAUAGGCAUUGCUCGCCGCCCGCUGCAGCAUCCUGUUCCUGCCACUUUCAGCUCAAGAGU